GGCCGAUGACGACGGCACCGGGCCGAGCCGGACUCGGCAUCCGGCGACGACGAGCCCUAUGAGUGCCGAGGCC
rfam:Halolamina pelagica strain CDK2 SY89_scf01, whole genome shotgun sequence.